GAAAACGGACUCACUAGGAGGACCUAGACUCUUUCAGCUUGAACUGUUAACCAAUGGUGGAAAUGCAAGAACGCUGAAGUUGUGCCUUCAGAGCCAAUAGAGUGGAUUUGUGUGUCCCACAUGACUGUGUUUCCCCUGUCUUUCACAUGGGCAGUAUUUAGUUCAAUUCAGAACUGCAGAUAGUAUAGCGUGCAGAGCAGCAAUGGGAUGUCUGAGCACAAGUGGCUGACUUCCAGGCGACUUCAAGAAACACAUUUGCACAUUUCUCUUGAAUUAAAUUGGAAUUCUGCACCCUUGACAUCCUCCUACUUUCCUGGUGUCUGUGGAAAGAAACAGCGACCUGCACAGCACAACAAAACUACAAAUCAUCAGUGAUCUACAGACAAGCAAAUGGAGUGAGCUGAGGGCAAUUUAACUACCGCCUUGUGUCAGUGCCCCAGAAGUCAAUGAGGCAUACUAUCGGGUCUCCAAGUCACAAAUAUCCUCCAGUUGGUAUCCUUCCAACCUUGCUCAACAGCUCUAAUUUCCCACCCCCGUCUUGAGGAGUUAAUAAUUCCCGGGUCUUUCGACGUGUGCUCCAUCAUAGUGGGAGUUGUCAGCAAACAAGAAAGGACACUUCUAAAGGAAAAACAGGUGAAAUAACAAGAGACACUGUUGUUCUGUGCAUUUAUUUUUGCAUGAGUUGUUCACCAGAAAUGAAAAGAAUUCUUCUAGUACUUAACAGUAUUUAUCACUCUUAGAGGGCAGCUUCAUCUGCUCAGUAAAAUCAGUGUCUAGACAUAGAAAGUUCUCAAAUCCAAAGUCAGAAAAAUUACUUCUGGUUUCUAGUCCAGUUACCCGCAUUCUUUUUAAAAAUCAGUUGAAACCGAUUGUGCUAUGAACUAAUGUGGAUCUAUACUGUUUUCCAGCUUUGAAAAGUAUUGAGGCUCAGUGAAUUUUUGCAAAUAUAUAGAUAUAUUAAGACAAAAACAAAAAAAAACCCAUAAAGUCCAGGGAACAUAAUCUUUCCUUAUAGCUGGUUGGGCUGUAGACCUCCUGUUACAAUAAACAUUUUGCUUAGCUUUAAGGUCAGUGGUGUUGUGAACUGCAAUUUACUCUCAAUUCCUAUUAGCAUAAAUCUGUGUACUAUUUUAGAGCUCAGAUUUUAUAUAAUGAAUGAAUAUCCUGUGAUCUAUUUCCUCUAUGUCCGUUUGGACUCAAAGUAAACUCAUCGAUUCUGAUUUGCAGCUGAUGCAUUUAAGUGCUGCCAUUUCAACACUUCUCUAACAAUGUACUUCAUUUUGCUGAAUUGAAACAUUGCACUGGAUUUGAGGCACACUGACAACUUAUGCAAGCAAAUUAGAUGCCCUGUUUCUUAUCAGAAAUGAGACAAAUUUAACCUUUAAAGGUGGCAUGGGGCCUUUUUCUGAUGUCUUCACAUGAAAACAAAUAGAUUAUCAUUUAGCAUUUCCAUUCAAGUGAAAGAAUGAGAGAACAGCAAAAUAAUUCUGAAGGUUAAACAUCACAUUUGGUACAGUUUUGUUUUUGUUCCCUCCCUGUUGCAAGAGUGGGUAUCGGAGGAGGUGCUCUGCCUCUCCUCCCACACCGCUUCCCUGCUUCAUAAGCAGAAACCAGCUGUUGGUUUUUUCAAGUCUAGCGGUUAGUUGACAUUUACCAUUAGUUGAUGCUUUUCGUUCUAUCGUAGCACGGAAGAGAGCUAAAAGUUUACUUUGAAGAGCGGAGAUUAAAUCUUUACUUUUCUAAUGCUCCUGCAGUGGAGGGGCCUGCCACCAAGGUUUUGUUGCAUAAGGAGGGACAAAAAGAUAAAGUGCUGCACUGAAGCAGACAACUGAGCAGUUCUGGCUUUACUGUUGCUAUUCUGUCCACUGGACAACACUUCAUUGCAACUCCUGAUCAGCAGUAAUGAUGUUAUUUCCUUCUCAGCCCCAGUCACUGAAGGAUGUAGUGUAGAACACUGAUUACAUUUUUGAUUUGACAGACUUGGCAGUGUACUUAGCAAAUGCCGUAAGAACCAAAAACUCCUGCAUAUAUACCCAUGAUCCAGCAACUGAUGUCAAAGGUGGCAGAAAUGAAGAAGAGCUCUAAGACACAUCACAGAAAACACUACAUUUCUAGAGCAAGGAAAACAUUAACUCAGCUAAAACCUGUGCUGAAAAGACAUCACAUCCUGCAAGCAACUGCACUGCAACCUGGUUGUCUAACUUAAUUGUAAAAUAGACACAGAUACUGAUCUAAGCUUUGCAUUUCUGAAAUUUAUCGCAGAAACCCCCCCCCCACCAUUAUGAACUUUAAUUACGCAAAGUUCACAAACCCAAGUGAAGAUACAAUACGGCGGUGUCACAACUGAUAUUUCAAUAAAAGAACACACAUCUUAAAAUUAUUUUCAAGCAAAUAGGUAUUUUGAAUUCAUACUGAAAAUACAGAGUUGGCUCUUCUUAAAGGCAAAUUCAUACACAAAAGAACCAGGAAAUCAGAAGUCAUCUAAGGAAGAAAAUUCCCCCAAAAUCAGGAAUUUGAAACAAGCGACCUGUAGCCAUUAACAGUCUACUAAAACCUUCAGUAGGAAAUUGACCUCAGAAGUUAGCCAGCGAGCAAUACUGUGUUUAUUUAAUGGUCUUUUACAGAGCAGAAAUCCAGAGUAUGUAGCCUUUUAUCUGGUGAUAUUUACUAAAGGAGCUUUAAAGAGGCAAUGUUAACAGGACUGCUGUAGAUACAAGAAGAAACUUGGAACGUGCAAUUACUGGAUGGCUCCGAACUUUAUCUGAUCUGCUUCAGAGCCACAGAAGAAAACCAUCCCAGACAGCUCAGUACAGAGAGUGUCAGAAAAUAAUACGCUGUCUAGGUCAGGACAUUUGAAAACGUACAUGACUAAGUAUGAUUUCUACCCCUACAUCAAAGGUCUCAGGAUUGAAGAUCACGUAGUCAGUUAUAAAGUUCAUACUGGCUCAACGUCUGCAGAACUCAGUAGCGCAGCUGUUCACUGCAAAUGUUAAACAAACAAAACUAAAAAUUAUAGAAACAAGCCAAACUAAAAUCAAGGACUUGAAAUGAAGAAUUUCACAUAGGCAACUAGAAAAGAAUGGGAAAACAACCUUUUCUCCAAGUCAGCAAGCUGAAAGCAUUAAGAGAAAAGCAGUUUGCCUCAAACCACACACAAGAGGACUUGAACGUUACUUUUAUUGUGUACUGCACUUAUGAGGCACUAAAUUUUUCUAAACAGUAUCCAAAUCACACUUUCAGCUCCAGCCAACAAACAUCUGAAUGCCACAGCAGCCUUUCAAGAGAAGGCUACAGCGCUGCAAAACUGAAAUGUUUCAAAGAGAUCAAAUACCCUUUGGUGCUACAUCCUUGUUCCCUCUGAUUAAAAAUGGAAAACAUUUUCUGGAAAGUAGGUAGAACCUAUUUUUAAAAAUAAAGGAACUGAAGAAAAGAGAAGAAAAGCCCCAAACUUUAAAUACUGUGGAAACCCACCUGGAUGGACAGCUGUAUCUGUUUCUUUUUUGCAAUGUAGUAAUUCAGAAAUACACCAAAAAUAUUUUGGUAUAAAUACUGAGUCAAAAAACGUUAAUUACUAAAAAUGAAGUACAUCUCAGGGGAACAUGAUCCAACCAUCACCUCUGUUUCCUCAGUGAUGCAAGCUUUAAAAAAAAAAAAAAAUCAGACACCUGUGUUAAAGUACAUCUUUAAAAAAAAUCAAUAUCUUAGUAUGCAUACUAAAUCUUUUGAAGGAUUUUACUGACUGCAUUUAGAAUUUGUACAUCAAAAGAGAUGCUGUAAUAGCCUACAAUAAAACCAAGAUUUUACAAGUUUUUGUAUGAACUGAAGGGAGGGAUUCAGACAGAUUGAUUUUUCUUCCAUAAAGAGCCACUUUAGCUUUAUUAACAGAAUUCUCUCCUCUAGUUUGAGUGGGUUUUUUGUUGAUUUUCUGUUUGUUUGUUUUUCAGCAGCACUCACAUGAGAGAAUUCUAGUUUUUACUACACAGAAAUAGAGCAAAACAUCAGGUACACGUACAGCUGCACAGACAGCCAAAUGCUUCUGUGCAAAGCUCAGGGGAUUAAAUGCAAGAAUUUUCCAUUGCUCCAGCCACAACUAGCGUCUUUCUGUCCAUACAUGUACAGUUGUGACACUUAAUUGCAAAGAAUAAUUGCUACAUCUUUGCUACAGUCUACUUCUUUACUAGACUGCAUAAACAAGGGAUCUGUGUCUUACUGUAUUUCAGAGAGAGAAAGAGAGAGAAGUUUCAGCAAGUUUUUAUUGUGUGUUAUAAAGAGAGGUAUGUCCACAUUAUUUUUAUUUGCCUUUGGGGAAGAAGUUCAUGGCGAAUGAAAGAGGAGGAAAAUUCUUAGGCAGCAGUUGUUUUUCUUUUUUGCAGAUAGAUAGUAGUCUGAUAGUUAAGACUUUCACAGAAUAUUGAAAACCCAGGUUUCCAGGCCUUUCUCCAAAACUAACAGGACUCAGACAUUCCAGAGGCACACCAAAAACACCAGGCUAUCAACCAUUCUGGGACAGCAAGGGGUCUUUUUUCUUUUCUUCGUGCAAAAGGCUUUCCCAGAAAAAUGUCCAUUGAAAAAUGUUACUUCAAGAUAUCUUAGGUUUUCCCCACAAGAGGAAAAACAGAUUACAUUUUCAACCAGUUAGUUGCAGUAUUGUUUAUGCCUGUAAACAAGAGAGAAAAAUCUCUAGCUUAAUGAAAAAAAAAAAACCCAAACAUUCUCUCUACAAAGUUCUAGUAAUACCUUUAAUCAUAUAACAAGCUUAAUGCAUUACAUUAAUUUGUCCAAUUAACACAGUUGGACUUUAAGAUCAAACAGAGAAGACAGAAGACUGUGAUCCAACAAAAGAGUGUUAUAAAAAUACUGCUUAAGACAUGCCAAGUAUUAUUUUAUGCUUGAACCCCAACAAAAGGCUUCCCCCGAGAUGGUGCUUUGUCUUCCUUUUUGUUAUUUUUAAGUGGUCACAUCAGUUCUACUGCUUUAUUAAAUGCACUCGUUUCUUAUUUCUGUGCAUAAUAGUUCUUAGGACACACUUUCUUGUGAUGGUAAUAGUUGAGAACAAACUAUUUUACAGAAGAUCACAAGCAUCAGAAGAUUGGUGUGUGGAUGAAAUACAUGCUGGGCAGACCUAUCAUGGCAGUAGUAUACAAAACACUGCAACAUUUGGUAUUCUUUCUGGUCUGAAGGGAUCUCAUGUCAGGUAGAGUAAAUUAACUCACUUUCUUUGCUGUUGAAUGACUUUUCCUAGCACCCUUCAUUUCAAUGCAGUUUAUAUUUUAAAGUUCUGGAGAGAGGGCUGCAGCUAUUAAGGACCAUGUAAAAUGCAGCUGUUCACACACUAUGGGACAAAGGCAACCACUUAGCGGGACCCCUAUACCUUCCCUUUCCUCACAUAACCAACUAAACUCCAUUAUAAUUAGUGCAGUAUGAAGAAACUAGAAGGCUAAUUUAAAGCUAUACAGUUGCAGUCUCAUUUAGGAAAUGCCUCCAGGCUUUCUCAAGCGUUUAGUAAUACAACUAAAAGCUAAUAUUCAACUCUACAUACUCAAAAGGCAUAAAAAAAAUCCUUUUCUGUGCAUUAUUAAGCCCAGGUUAUCUUCUCCAACAAAGUGCUUCUAGGAAUUUGAGAAUCAUCUCCUUUUUUCUAUCCUGCAGGCUGAGCUGUAUACUGUUGACAGUGACUACAAAUGUAUGUUGCAAUAAUACAUCAUCAUUUGAAAUCUAGGCCUUAUUUCACUAGAUCUCAUUUAUAUAACUAUGCACACACACACACAUACAUACAUGAGUUUGAGAGUAGGUAGGUUAUGAAGAUUAGAAGAAAUGGCCACAGGUAGUUUGGAAACAGAAAAAUGGUCCCUUGAUUCCCAAAGGGAUUGAAGCCUAAAGCACAUUUCCUGUAACUCACAGUGAUUCCUGUACACUAGAAGAUCACGCACAGCUGAGAUGACAUAGGGAGGAAUUGAUAACACUGAAUGUCAAAAGCUGAGUUUGGAGAGAAUAAGUAUGCAGCUGUUUCAUCCUCCUGCUUUUAUUUAAGCUAGCAGGGCUAAAAACAUUAGGGUUUUGUUUACACUGGGCAGUUCUGAUUGAGGUAGAUGGAAAUGUCACUAGCCCAGCUCUUCUGAAGCUUUCUUUACUAUAUAUUUUUAAAAACAACACAGAUGAGUGUAAGUCCUAUCAUUUAUCUUCAAAGAUAAAGCAAAGAGUAAAUCUAAGGCUGGUAUCAUCAGCAUGCAACUCCAACCUUUAAAUUAGGCCCUUCAGGUGCCAAUGGAGCAUGAACUGCAAUGCAAGCUAUACAUUCAGUUCUCGGGUGAUGAAUUUAUGCUAGGUUUCCUAUGAUCAUUGUUUAUAUUGAAUUCAAGUUUUAUUAAGCUUUUACUGCCCUGUAAGAACAGCCCCCUGGAACAGCAGGAGAAACACCACAGCUAAACACCUAAAAAUGCUUCCAUAGGUGGUUUUUAAUUCUCCUCCAUAUACACACUUGGCUAUAGUUAAAGAAACAAAUUUGGUGACUAGGUUUCGACCAUUAGUUUUGUUACCUUUUAUGUUCCUUUAGUACUAGAUAAUUCUUCCUUUAUGUGGGAUUCAAGAUGUCAUUAUUAUACCCUCAAGCUGAAGUGCCAAAUGAUUUCCUUGCUGUCCAACAGCUUACAGCACCACACCACACAGCAGAACAGGAAUUUGUGGAAUCCAGUUCAUGAUGGCAGCUGGGACUGCACUGCUACAUCAAGAAGGGAACUGAGCUCUCCUCAGAGUUUUAAUUGUUUAAAGAACAUACUCAGUGCUUUUAUCAGAAAAGUAACAGCUAUGUUGAUUUCCUGAAGAAACUGGAGUUCAAAACACUUAUUAGAAAAAGUUGUCUAAGUGUAUCAUAUGCUUGCAUGACAUGAAGACAAUUUGUACAUUUAUUCUGAAUUUAAAACUCAGUUGAGCAUGGAGAAUGAUUUCAUUUCACAAGUUAUUCAGAAGUUACCUCUUAAAUUGGAAAUUAGCGCUAUACCUAAACCAUUUAUUUUAUUUUUGACAAACCUUUUACUUAAGUAGAGAUUUUUCAUCAAUUCAUACUCUGAUCUUAAAGUUUGCGAGAACGUUAGCCAUCACUUUUCUUAAGUUGCCUUUUGCAUGCAUGUUAUUCCUUAGAGGGGUUUUGCAGCAAUAGUUGUAAGAAAAUCUAUUCACUUCCAUUUGACUGAAUUGUGUUGUAUGACAGGGAAGUGACUACUUGCAACCUUGAUCCACACAGCUAAAUACAGCCAGACAAGAUUAAGUUCUUACCAUAAUGGUUCUCAUGCCCUCUUCUAGCUUUGUCCAAAACCCGUGCACACCAUUAGACACAUUUUUCUUUUCCAUACAGUUAAGUCACAAGAUUGUGGCUUACUAAAAAAUUCAUUAUUAUUCAUCUCUGCUGAUUCCUGUAGGACUAUAGGCACCAGAUUGUAUAACUAUCAUUUUUUUCUGACCAGAGUGUGAGUACAUCUUCCUAGCACUUCUAAAUGCUCUCAACUAAAUUGUUACUUAAUUCUUCAGCUUUUUAGUUUCUUGUAUUUACUAUUCAUUUUACAGAAACUGCUGGGUUUUUUUCCUGUUGAUUAUGCUGUUACAGUAGUUUUCAGAGUACAGUUGAGGAGUACAUUCAAUAUUACCUUAAAGGCUGUAAAUUUUCCAUUUAGAGUCUCUGAAGUAAUAUCAGUAAUAGACAAAGCUAUGGUUAAGAGUUCAGUACUUGUUUUAUGAGCCUGAUAACAUAAAUAACGUUGACAGAAAUCAGUUCCUGUGCUGUUCAAAAGCUGAGUUUCACAUCUGUUAACAUGGGCAAAGAUAUGACCAUUUCUGAAAUACUUUAACAUUUUCAUUUCAAAGUUUGUUCACUUCCAAAAAUCAUCUGAUAAUUCUGCUCAGUCCAACUGAUCGUCAGGAAGACCAUUAAGAUCAAGUAUACGGAGAAAGUUGAUGCAAAUAUGCUGCAAAUUUUUCUUCACCAUUUACUCUAAGUUUUCCCCUCAGAACAAGUAGGAACUUUAAUAGGUGAAGAUCACAUCCACGAAAUAAAAACACCAGACUUUUCUCUCCAUGUCUGCAACACCUCAGAAGUACAAGCACUUUGGUUUGUGAGAAGAUGCUAGGAUAUUCCUAAGCUUUCCAAGGCUCUUAUUAUUCUUACAGACACAGUAUUUUGAAAGAGAUUUCAGCAGAGAUGCUAAAUUUCUAGGUAAAUCCUGGUUUUCUGUGGUGUUCAAAAAUGAGGCAAAGUCCUAGCCUAUCAACCAAACUGUUGUCAAUAUGGAUGCUAAGAAACCACCAUUUUUCAAAAAUCACAAGCAGAACUCUAGUACUCAGUCACUUCCAGCAAUAUUUUCAGCAUUUCACAAAUACAAAUUUGAUGCUUUCAGCAGUUACAUGAGCUCAUUUCAUCUUACACAGAAAGAAAGACAAAAAAAAAAGAAAAAGUUGACCCCAAAUUCACACGCCUGGAUUGCAUUUCAGCAUAAGUAACGUGAUAAACUAUGACCUGUAUGCAGAGACACAAAUCUAAAAGCAGAAUUUGGAAAGUUCAGCACACAAAGUCAUACCUCUCAAUAUUGGAAGUGCUAGAUUUGUCAAUAGUGGUACACACUAGGCUGUUUUAAUGACUAUUAAUAGACAGUGACAAAAAGCAAUCAUGUUCAUCAAAAACGAUUUCAUAAGUAAUGAUACCUGUGACAUAUUAAGGAAAAAAAAUCUAAGGUAGGAACUAAAAGUUCAAGAAGACUUAUUUUACUGUUAUUUCUGUUGUGCUAUCAAGCAAAAAAAUGGAACAAAAAAGAGACCUAAGUACAUUGGCAGGAUAAUGAAGGAUAAAACUAGCAAUAAAUAUAAGAGGAAUUUGCACUUCGGUUGAGGUAAUCCCAGAUAUGCACACAGAGUGGGAGAACUCCUUGAGAGUAGCCAUGCUGAGAAGGACCUUAACGGUUCUGGUUGAUGAAAAACUUAACAUGAACCAACAGUGGCACCUGCAGCCCAGAAUACCAAUGGGACCCUGGG